CACCGACUCUCUUUUCGGACUCAGUCCGCCUGCACCCGGGUGAAAUAAACAGCCAUGUUGCUCACACAAAGCCUGUUUGGUGGUCUCUUCACACGGACGUGCAUGAAAUUUGGUGCCGUGACUCGGAUCGGGGGACCUCCCUUGGGAGAUCAAUCCCCUGUCCUCCUGUUCUUUGCUCCACGAGAAAGAUCCACCUACGACCUCAGGUCCUCAGACUGACCAGCCCAAGGAACAUCUCACCAAUUUUAAAUCAGGCAGGAAUGUCAGGCCUCUGAGCCCAAGCCAAGCCAUGGCAUCCCCUGUGAUUUGCACAUGUACGCCCAGAUGGCCUGAAGUAACUGAAGAAUCACAAAAGAAGUGAAUAUGCCCUGCCCCACCUUAACUGAUGACAUUCCACCACAAAAGAAGUGUAAAUGGCCAGUCCUUGCCUUAAGUGAUGACAUUACCUUGUGAAAGUCCUUUUCCUGGCUCAUCCUGGCUCAAAAAGCACCCCCACUGAGCACCUUGCGACCCCCACUGCUGCCUGCCAGAGAACAACCCCCCUUUGACUGUAAUUUUCCUUUACCUACCCAAAUCCUAUAAAACGGCCCCACCCCUAUCUCCCUUCACUGACUCUCUUUUCGGACUCAGUCCGCCUGCACCCGGGUGAAAUAAACAGCCAUGUUGCUCACACAAA
rnacentral:lncRNA from 1 species